CAAAUCUCAAAGAGAAAACAACGCUUAAAAAGGUUCUAAGGUGUUAUUUCGAUACCGGAUUACUCAUCCAUCCCACCUGCAGGGGAUGCGAUUGUUUGGGCAGGUAAGCCUGCGAUAAGGAAAGCAAACUGUACUUUUAUCCACUAUUUAUUUAGCUUUGUGCGAAUUUCUACGCCUGUCGCAGCCUAGAUUUUAGGCUACCCAAAUGAAUCUGCCUGAAAGCAUUUCCGCCUUAUCAGUUCGCUCUUAUCGCCGCACGUUUUGUUUGCCCACUUAGCUGCAGCUAGUUGCGAAUUGGGGGGCGGAGCUCCACUCGACAGCGGUAUCGCAUGAACAAGAGAAUUGCGUUGCCAGGUGAAAGAAAAAUAUCGGAGUGAAAAAUCAAAGAGAGCAAGGUAAUGCUACUCACUCACUGGCAGCCAAUUGAGUGGAAACAAAUAACCGAAACACCAAGCUACAAGGAAAUGGGAACCACGAUCCUUAUAAGAAACAAUCGAUU
rnacentral:sRNA from 1 species